UGGGGAAUUUUGGACAAUGGGCGCAAGCCUGAUCCAGCCAUGCCGCGUGAGUGAAGAAGGCCUUCGGGUUGUAAAGCUCUUUCAGUAGGAACGAAACGAUAGGCUCUAACAUAGCCUGUUACUGACGGUACCUACAGAAGAAGCACCGGCUAACUAUGUGCCAGCAGCCGCGGUAAUACGUAGGGUGCGAGCGUUAAUCGGAAUUAAUGGGCGUAAAGCGUGCGCAGGCGGUUUCUUAAGCCAGAUGUGAAAGCCCCGGGCUUAACCUGGGAAUUGCGUUUGGAACUGGGAGACUAGAGUGUGGCAGAGGGAGGUAGAAUUCCACGUGUAGCAGUGAAAUGCGUAGAGAUGUGGAGGAAUACCGAUGGCGAAGGCAGCCUCCUGGGCCAACACUGACGCGCAUGCACGAAAGCGUGGGGAGCAAACAG
rnacentral:rRNA from 1 species